rnacentral:rRNA from 1 species
UACAGAGGUCCCGAGCGUUGUUCGGAUUCACUGGGCGUAAAGGGUGCGUAGGUGGCGUGGUAAGUCGGGUGUGAAAUUUCGGAGCUUAACUCCGAAACUGCAUUCGAUACUGCCGUGCUUGAGGACUGGAGAGGAGACUGGAAUUUACGGUGUAGCAGUGAAAUGCGUAGAGAUCGUAAGGAAGACCAGUGGCGAAGGCGGGUCUCUGGACAGUACCUGACACUGAGGCACGAAGGCCAGGGGAGCAAACGGG